GACGAACGCUGGCGGCGUGCUUAACACAUGCAAGUCGAACGGAAAGGCCCUGCUUUUGUGGGGUGCUCGAGUGGCGAACGGGUGAGUAACACGUGAGUAACCUGCCCUUGACUUUGGGAUAACUUCAGGAAACUGGGGCUAAUACCGGAUAGGAGCUCCUGCUGCAUGGUGGGGGUUGGAAAGUUUCGGCGGUUGGGGAUGGACUCGCGGCUUAUCGGCUUGUUGGUGGGGUAGUGGCUUACCAAGGCUUUGACGGGUAGCCGGCCUGAGAGGGUGACCGGCCACAAUGGGACUGAGAGACGGCCCAGACUCCUACGGGAGGCAGCAGUGGGGAAUAUUGCACAGUGGGCGGAAGCCUGAUGCAGCAACGCCGCGUGCGGGAUGACGGCCUUCGGGUUGUAAACCGCUUUCGCCUGAGACGAAGCGUGAGUGACGGUAAUGGGUAAAGAAGCACCGGCUAACUACGUG
rnacentral:rRNA from 1 species